rnacentral:rRNA from 1 species
CCUACGGGAGGCAGCAGUGGGGGAUAUUGCACAAUGGGCGCAAGCCUGACCCAGCAACGCCGCGUGAAGGAAGAAGGCUUUCGGGUUGUAAACUUCUUUUGUCAGGGAAGAGUAGAAGACGGUACCUGACGAAUAAGCCACGGCUAACUACGUGCCAGCAGCCGCGGUAAUACGUAGGUGGCAAGCGUUGUCCGGAUUUACUGGGUGUAAAGGGCGUGUAGCCGGGUUGACAAGUCAGAUGUGAAAUCCUGCGGCUUAACCGCAGAACUGCAUUUGAAACUGUUGAUCUUGAGUACUGGAGAGGCAGACGGAAUUCCUAGUGUAGCGGUGAAAUGCGUAGAUAUUAGGAGGAACACCAGUGGCGAAGGCGGUCUGCUGGACAGCAACUGACGGUGAGGCGCGAAAGCGUGGGGAGCAAACAGGAUUAGAUACCCCUGUAGUC